CCAGUAAAUGGAGGUGAAGGUCUCCGAGGCCUUGACUUAAAUUCUGGAUGGAAUUGAACACCUAUGUAAAAUGGGUGGCUGUUAAUUGGUACCUCCAUCCUCUUUCCACUUUCAUCGCAACCAACAAAAUGAAGGCCAGCGUUUUCAAGCAUAGCAACGAAAGAAGGGUUCACCUAUAAUCAAUUGACUUCUGUGAUCUGACAAGUUGUCAGAAAUCCUUACAGUUUUGAUGUAAGACAAUCUGUCCUGCGAAAGAACGUUCUUCGGCAACCCAACCUCAUUGUAUUUCCCAUGUGCGUUUUUGAAACCUGUAUAGUUAAUUGCAAGGCCUUAGGUUAGAUCAAAGUCAUGUCUCUUUCUUGCAUGAAGCAUACAUACAUUUCUGGACAUCUCAAUCACUGAUAUCUGCAUUCCCAAGCAAAUGCCAAGGUAUGGAACUUUAUUCUCACGAGCAUAUUUUGCAGCCAAUAUCAUCCCAGAUAUUCCACGAUCCCCGAAUCCUCCUGGUAUCAAAAUGCAAGAGGAACCCUGAAAUUUUAUCAUUUAUAAAUGUUAUACUUUAAAGAUAGAGUUUGACCCAUUUUCACCAAUUGGAUGCAUAAUUGAAUAAAUAACAAUUCUAUAUUAAAAAGUUGAUUUAACUCACCUUCACCACUGAUAAGUAGGAAUCGGUCAGAUUAGUAUAUUUCCCAACCAAAGCGAUUUUAACCUGCAUGGCAUUGAAGUCCAUCAAAAUUAAUUAUGCACUUGAAAAUAAUCAAUGCAAAUUUGGAACAUCAUGGAUGUUAAGUAUAUUCUCAACCUGUAAGAGAUAAGAUAGAAUGUAAGUAGGAAAACAUGAGAAUAAAAUGGCUCUUUUCAAACUUAGAAGCAAAAACAUACCGGUACAUGACAAAAUUGUGAAAGUUUCUCCUUGACAGAUCCUAUUAAGUCAGCGUAGCCCAUUGAACUCAACAUAUUUCUCAGCAACCAUGACCUAUUAAAUUUGAAAUCACAAGAAGAAAAUCCAACUGUACCAAGAGAAAAUGACAACUGGCGCAGAGCUUCAAUGAAUGGCAUUGAUUCAAUAUCACCUGAAACAAGAAAAAAUUUAGUUCAUCCAUUAUAAUAGUAAUAACUAUACCAUAAGAUGCCUCGAAACCCUACCUACAGUGCCUCCCAAUUCAAUGACACAAACAUCAGCUGGACGAGUCUGCCCAUCCACAGGAACAGAAGAUACUGACUGUAUCCACUGUUUAAUUUCAUCAGUUACAUGAGGAACAACCUGAACAUGUUACAGCCAUAAGAUUUUAGUUUCAUUUUCUAGGAAGGGAUGAUCACCUGAUAUAUCUUUCCAGUUGUAAUGUUGUUAUCCCUUGUCAGAGUAACAUCCAAGAAACGCUCAUAAUUCCCUAAAUCCAACCAUACCUCUCCACCAUCGUCAAGCACAAAGACCUCACCAUGCUCAAAAGGAGACAUUGUACCAGCAUCUGUAAACACACGGACCGAUCUUGAUGCAGGUGACGCGGAGGCCGCAGGCCUUGAGGACGACGCCGACGCUGCUGGCCGUGACCCCCUUCCCGAGCCCGCUGACGACGCCGCCGGUGAUGAGCACGUACUUGGUCGACGCCGCCGCCGCUGCCGCUGCCGCAUCCUCCCCGGGCUCCGCC
rnacentral:sRNA from 1 species